UACGUAGGGGGCAAGCGUUGUCCGGAUUUAUUGGGCGUAAAGAGCGUGUAGGCGGCCAUACAGGUCCGUUGUGAAAACUGGAGGCUUAACCUCCAGACGUCGAUGGAAACCGUAUGGCUAGAGUCCGGAAGAGGAGAGUGGAAUUCCUGGUGUAGCGGUGAAAUGCGUAGAUAUCAGGAGGAACACCUGUGGUGUAGAUAGCUUACUGGACCAUUUCUGACGCUGAGACACGAAAGCGUGGGUAGCAAACAGG
rnacentral:rRNA from 1 species